rnacentral:tRNA from 1 species
GAGAGGUGGCUGAGUGGUUGAAAGCGGCACCCUGCUAAGGUGUUAGGGGCGCAAGCCCCUCGAGGGUUCGAAUCCCUCCCUCUCC